rnacentral:rRNA from 1 species
GACGAACGCUGGCGGCGUGCUUAACACAUGCCAGUCGAACGGAAAGGCCCUGCUUUUGUGGGGUGCUCGAGUGGCGAAAGGGUGAGUAACACGUGAGUAACCUGCCCUUGACUUUGGGAUAACUUCAGGAAACUGGGGCUAAUAACGGAUAGGAGCUCCUGCUGCAUGGUGGGGGUUGGAACGUUUCGGCGGUUGGGGAUGGACUCGCGGCUUAUCAGCUUGUUGGUGGGGUAGUGGCUUACCAAGGCUUUGACGGGUAGCCGGCCUGAGAGGGUGACCGGCCACAUUGGGACUGAGAUACGGCCCAGACUCCUACGGGAGGCAGCAGUGGGGAAUAUUGCACAAUGGGCUGAAGCCUGAUGCAGCAACGCCGCGUGCGGGAUGACGGCCUUCGGGUUGUAAACCGCUUUCGCCUGUGACGAAGCGUGAGUGACGGUAAUGGGUAAAGAAGCACCGGCUAACUACGUG